CUCUCAAUCAAACAUAUAAAGGCCUAGUUGGCGUAGCUUAACUAAAGCAUAA
rnacentral:tRNA from 1 species